rnacentral:lncRNA from 1 species
GUACAACAUGAUGGCAAGGUAUGAACCAACACAGAUGGGUUCAGUUUCCAAGUGUGAUGAUGGAGAUGGAAACGGGCAAGAGGAGCUGCAGGGAAGGUGUGGAGAAGCACGCAUGUACAGGACUGGUGAUCCCCGCGGGCGUGGCACCUGUAAACAAGACUAGAAACAGGUAUACCACACAUGAACCCUGUUAUAAUUUGACCCUACUCACAUCAUCCAUGUCUUCAGUGAGAGGAGGGCAGCUGCUCUGACAGGUGAGGUGUAUCUUAGACAACCCAAACAUACUCUGAGGACGGCAGUUCAGAGAUGGAGAGGAAAGCUUUGGGGCACAGAAAGAGAAACGGUGGCUCAACUGUCGAGUAUAUAGUUUCUCACCAGCAUCUGUGAACCUGAUGGCCUCCUAAGUGGCUCCUUCUGGAACAUUCCCUCACUGGAUACCAUGUACCCUCUGACUCUCUUGAAUCUUUUGUUCCAAAGCACUUUUAAAUGAAGGUGCCUUCAAGCUCCUGUGGAUCGUAAAGAUCUGAACAAGCUGGGACAAAGAUAUUAAGCUGAUACCCUCAGGCCUGAGGGAAUGGCUUACGUGUAUGGGAACCUUUUUCUCCUUUGGGGAUAAAUGAGGACGAAGAAGUCACAUGGGAAAGACAGCUUCUACCAUCAAGUCAGUGAGGUGUCCCUCCAAUCGCCCAGCCAUAGAAGAGUGACUUCUCUCCAAAGUGGAUCACAGUUGUGGAUACAUUUGGAACUUCCUGCAGCUGAAGGAACAGAGUGGCAAGGACAGCAGCUGGGGGUGGGGUGGGGCUCUGCCAGCAGGCAGGCAGGUGUCUCUUGUAGAUCCACUUAGCAGUUCAUUACCAAGCUCCAUCUGCCUGGGUAACCAUUACUCAUGCCAACGAGUGUCUGAGGCUGUGGUGCCACUCCAUCUGGGGGACUCUUUGGUGAGAGGCACUUCCUCUGGGCCAUGCCUGGGACACUGUCACCUGGGGAAAGGAUGGCCUCUCUUCUCUACAACACAGAACAAUUGCAGCACAGGUUUUCAUUUCCAGAUCAUGGUCUCCUUGGUGUCUUUAUUUUCUUGAAUCAUCUGUUCUGACUCUUCCUCACAGGCAGAACUGUGUUGAUUGACAGUUGGAGAUGCAUAGGCUGCUAGUUUGAGAAGGGGUGGAGCAUGGGCAAUCUGAAUUGUUAGACCACCACACGGUGUGUUCUUAUCUUGGAGUUGGUUUUUUUCUUUUCUUGGGUGGUGACCAAGCUUUUGAACAUUAAGAAUUGAAUAGUAGCUGGAGAGAUGGCUCGGCUGAUAAAAUGCUUGCUGUGAAAAGCAUGAGAAUCUGAGUUUGAUUCCUCAGAACCCACAUCAAAAAGUAAGGUACAGUGGCGUCCCAUUGUAAUACCGAUGCUAGAGAGGCAGAGACUGGCAGGUCCCUAGGGCUCACAGGAUAGCCUAGGGAUCUAGCUUAAUCAGUAAGUUGCAGGUACAGUGAGAGAUCCGGUCCCAAAAAGAAAGAUAGAAUGUGAUUGAGGAAGACACUUGGCAUUGAAUUUUGGCUUCCUUAGCACAGACACAUGCAUGCACACUAGCAAUACAGAUGUGAACACACACACACAAACACACACACACACUUGAAUAUAUAAAGCACCAUUGAUAGUAUGCUUGCCCAGUGUGUAGGGGUCCUUGGGUU